rnacentral:rRNA from 1 species
AACAUGCAAGUCGAGCGCCCCGCAAGGGGAGCGGCAGACGGGUGAGUAACGCGUGGGAAUCUACCUUUUGCUACGGAACAACAGUUGGAAACGACUGCUAAUACCGUAUGUGCCCUUCGGGGGAAAGAUUUAUCGGCAAAGGAUGAGCCCGCGUUGGAUUAGCUAGUUGGUGAGGUAAAGGCUCACCAAGGCGACGAUCCAUAGCUGGUCUGAGAGGAUGAUCAGCCACACUGGGACUGAGACACGGCCCAGACUCCUACGGGAGGCAGCAGUGGGGAAUAUUGGACAAUGGGCGCAAGCCUGAUCCAGCCAUGCCGCGUGAGUGAUGAAGGCCCUAGGGUUGUAAAGCUCUUUCACCGGUGAAGAUAAUGACGGUAACCGGAGAAGAAGCCCCGGCUAACUUCGUGCCAGCAGCCGCGGUAAUACGAAGGGGGCUAGCGUUGUUCGGAUUUACUGGGCGUAAAGCGCACGUAGGCGGAUUUUUAAGUCAGGGGUGAAAUCCCGGGGCUCAACCCCGGAACUGCCCUUUGAUACUGGAAGUCUUGAGUAUGGUAGAGGUGAGUGGAAUUCCGAGUGUAGAGGUGAAAUUCGUAGAUAUUCGGAGGAAACACCAGUGGCGAAGGCGGCUCACUGGACAUUACUGACCCUGAGGUGGCGAAAGCGUUGGGGAACCAACAAGGAUUAGAUACCCCUGGUAAGU